rnacentral:snoRNA from 1 species
CCCUCCUUACAAAGGUGUGUCAGUGGUUUCCUGUCCUUGGACACGUAAGAAUUGGAGGCAAAGAGAUGUGGACUUAGAGAAUUCUGAAGCCAGCUUGUUCCCCACAGGCUCAAGAUCACCCUUUCCCACACAG